rnacentral:rRNA from 1 species
AUGAUGUGGAUUAAUUCGAUGCAACGCGAAAAACCUUACCUACCCUUGACAUGUACGGAAUCCUGCUGAGAGGUGGGAGUGCUCGAAAGAGAACCGUAACACAGGUGCUGCAUGGCUGUCGUCAGCUCGUGUCGUGAGAUGUUGGGUUAAGUCCCGCAACGAGCGCAACCCUUGUCCUUAGUUGCUACGCAAGAGCACUCUAGGGAGACUGCCGGUGACAAACCGGAGGAAGGUGGGGAUGACGUCAAGUCCUCAUGGCCCUUAUGGGUAGGGCUUCACACGUCAUACAAUGGUCGGUACAGAGGGCUGCCAAACCGCGAGGUGGAGCUAACCCCAGAAAACCGAUCGUAGUCCGGAUCGCAGUCUGCAACUCGACUGCGUGAAGCUGGAAUCGCUAGUAAUCGCGGAUCAGCAUGUCGCGGUGAAUACGUUCCCGGGUCUUGUACACACCGCCCGUCACACCAUGGGAGUGGGUUUUGCCAGAAGUAAGUAGCCUAACCGUAAGGAGGGCGCUUACCACGGCAGGAUUCAUGACUGGGGUGAAGUCGUAAC